CCGGGAAGAGCUCAAAUUUGAAAUCUGGCGUCCUCAGGGCGUCCGAGUUGUAAUCUAUAGAGGCGUUUUCCGUGCCGGACCGUGUCCAAGUUCCUUGGAACAGGAUAUCAAAGAGGGUGACAAUCCCGUACUUGACACGACGACCGGUGCUCUGUGAUACGUCUUCUACGAGUCGAGUUGUUUGGGAAUGCAGCUCAAAAUGGGUGGUGAGUUCCAUCUAAAGCUAAAUAUUGGCGAGAGACCGAUAGCGAACAAGUACCGUGAGGGAAAGAUGAAAAGCACUUUGGAAAGAGAGUUAAACAGUACGUGAAAUUGUUGAAAGGGAAACGAUUGAAGUCAGUCGUGACCGAGAGGCUCAGCCGGUUCUGCCGGUGUAUUCCCCUCGGUCGGGUCAACAUCAGUUUUGUCCGGUGGAUAAGGACGGUAGGAAGGUGGCACCCUCGGGUGUGUUAUAGCCUGCCGUCGCAUACAUCGGGUGAGACUGAGGAACGCAGCUCGCCUUUAUGGCCGGGGUUCGCCCACGUCCGAGCUUAGGAUGUUGACAUAAUGGCUUUAAACGACCCGUCUUGAAACACGGACCAAGGAGUCUAACAUAUCUGCGAGUGUUUGGGUGUCAAACCCGAGCGCGUAAUGAAAGUGAACGUAGGAGGGAUCCGCAAGGAGCACCUUCGACCGAUCUGGAUCUUCUGUGAUGGAUUUGAGUAAGAGCAUAUAUGCUGGGACCCGAAAGAUGGUGAACUAUGCCUGAAUAGGGCGAAGCCAGGGGAAACUCUGGUGGAGGCUCGUAGCGAUU
rnacentral:rRNA from 1 species